AUAAGACGGAGGGAGGGAGUACCAGCUAAAUUCUCAAUACAAGUACACAUAUACACACUAUGGAGUACUAAUGCAUGAUGCGAAUUGAGAUAUUCUUGAGCUACCUUCAUUUACAUCAAUUAAGAAAGCACCAUACCUUACGGUUGGUAAAUGGAAUUGCCAUCUUACAGACGGGAAAAAACCAUAUGAAAAUGCCUUUGAUACUUAGUGGUAGGCCACCAGAGAACCUAGUGCUUCCCGGCCCCAAAAUUCGACCUUGAGACUUCUCUUGCUACCAAAAGAGAAGCAAGCUUUGGCAGGAGCAGCGACAGAAGGUGAAUUAGUCAACAUCUUGCUGUUGAGGAAAAUGAAACAUGAUUUAUAAGAAGGAAGCAGCAACUGCAAAUGUUGGCCAAAGAAAGCAAGGCAUAGAAGGAACAACAACUACGUCUUCUUAGGAUUGUUGACAUCUUAGUUUCCAAGAGUUGCUUAAUCAGCGAGUGAGAAUAUAAUAAAUCUUAGCUAGGAUGUUGCACAAAGGAAACAACACAUAAAGGCAAGGACGGAGCACCCAGUCGCACCUAGUUGCAGCUAAAGUCACUUCCUUUGCAAGCGUUGGCAUCGCUUCAAAAUAACAUGAGGAAAGAAAAAAUAAUGGUAAGUCGAAGUGUAUCCUUAGUAAUGUACAAAAAAAAUUGACAGACAACCAACAUCAAACAAAAGGUGCAAGUGAAGGAAGCAUUUCCUGCUCAAUUCAUAUGAUAUAGCAAAACAAAAU
rnacentral:lncRNA from 1 species